UACGAAGGGGGCUAGCGUUGUUCGGAAUCACUGGGCGUAAAGCGCACGUAGGCGGAUCUUUAAGUCAGGGGUGAAAUCCCGAGGCUCAACCUCGGAACUGCCUUUGAUACUGGGGAUCUCGAGUCCGGGAGAGGUCGAGUGGAACUGCGAGUGUAGAGGUGAAAUUCGUAGAUAUUCGCAAGAACACCAGUGGCGAAGGCGACUCACUGGCCCCGGAACUGACGCUGAGGUGCGGAAAGCGUGGGGAGCAACAGGG
rnacentral:rRNA from 1 species